rnacentral:tRNA from 1 species
GUCCGGCUAGCUCAGUUGGUAGAGCACGAGACUCUUAAUCUCGGGUCUUGGGUUCGCACCCAACGUUGGGCG